rnacentral:rRNA from 1 species
GACUAAGCCAUGCAUGCCUUCGAAUAGAAGACGCAAUCUCUCUGAAUCUGCGAACGGCUCCGCAUACCAGUUGUAAACCAUAGCGAGCUAACCUUGGGAAGACCCGAUCAAAAGGGACGACCCUUGGUUGGACAUGGAUACCCGUGGUAAUUCUGAGGCUAAUACAAGGACAUAUGACCUGGCUAACCGGGCAACUGGAAGGCUGGGGGUUGUGUGAAGCUUUACUGCAACACCGACCUAUGAGAUGAUGCACAAUCAGACCACCAUACCAAACGGUCUCGUUCCGCGGUCAGUACCCUCGGGGAAAGCCAAGGUGCUUGACUGGGUGGCUCUCGCUUCGUGCUUCUGACCUAUCAACUAGAUGGCAGCGUAACGGACAUGCUAUGGUUACAACGGGUACAGAGGAUAAGGGUUCGAUCCUGGAGAGUGGGCCUGAGAGAUUGCUCACACUUCUAAGGAAGGCAGCAGGCGCGCAACGUUCCCAAUGGGUAACACCUGAGGGCGUUAGGGGACAUAUGAAUGCCUGCCAUUAGGUGGGCAAUUCAAAUGGGACUGUUCUAAACAGCCUAUCGAGUAACAAUUAGAGGACAAGUCUGGUGUGCCAAAUGCCAGAUGUCAGGUACGGAGAAACCCCGUUACCACCCAACCUUUUCCCCCCCAUUAACACCGGUCAGGGUGUAUUGGGGGGGGGGAGCGAGGGGGGUAUACGGGCAAUCCCCGUACCUGGCAAAAAGCCGGAUAUGAGCACCGGCUGUACAUUCGUAAAUUGCGGGGAAGGCUGGGUAUGGGAGUGCCACGGCGGCCUGGGGGUAACCCCAGGUGCAGCAGGUGUCGUAAUGGUCACCGGAUCGUAACAGCGCACUCUCAGGCGAGGGGAUUGUCCAAUCCCCGCAUCUCGCUCGCUCCCAUCGGUGCAACGAUGGGAACGGGCGGGGUAGCCACCCCAGUCAAUCCGCAGCCAAGCCUCCCCUCUGACCGGGGGAGGAAGGUUCAAAGACUACAAUCGAAUGGGGGGUACCCAGUAGGCCUGAUCAGCCGAACAGUAGCCCCUUAAGGUAUAGUCCACUCCCCCCAGCAAUGGGGCCAACAGAGUAGGGGAUGGCUCAUCCCUGAGGGCAGUUGGAUCCAAUGGUACCAGGACCGAAAUACCUGGUCUCCGGAUGGUACAUAGGGCCAGCACCCGCGGUAAUUCCAGCUCUAAUAGCAUACGUUAAAGUUGUUGCGGUUAAAACGCUCGUAGUCGCCACCAGACCUUCAGAUACCUUCCAUUGCGAUGUGGGCCUGCACUCUGUUUCAACAAAACGGGUGCGCCACUGAGCUCUGAGGGCGGACGUCGGUCAAUCGUGCUUUUGGUCACCUGGGUUACCUCGGUUUCCCGGUUAAAAGGCUACCCGUAUCCGAGACUCCGGUCAAGGGUACGGGUGGUUGGCUGACUGCACCGUUUACUAUGAUUAAACUGGAGUGCUCAAAGCCGGUCACUUUGACUCGUACAGCGCAGCAUAGUAUAACGAUACCCGGUUCGGUACGUUGCAGGUACCGGACCGGGUAAAAGAUUAAGGGAUGUUCGAGGGUGACCGAAUUACUGGGCGAGUGGUGAAAUACGUUGACCCUAGUAAGUCGACCAAAGGCGAAAGCAGUCAUCAAGGGCAUGCCCGUUGAUCAAGAGCGAAAGUUAAGGGUUCGAAGACGAUCAGAUACCGUCGUAGUCUUAACUAUAAACGAUGCAAACCAGGGAUAGGACACUGUCCAUCUCGACUCCUCCCGGACCUCGGAGAAAUUACAGUCUUUGGGUUCUGGGGGGAGUAUGGUCGCAAGGCUGAAACUUAAAGGAAUUGACGGAAGGGCACACAAAGAGUGGAACCUGCGGCUUAAUUUGACUCAACACGGGAAAACUCACCAGGUCCGGAUACACGUAUGAAAGUCAAGCUGAAAGACUUUACCCAAUGAUGUAAGUGGUGGUGCAUGGUCGUUCGUGGUUCGUGGAUUGAUUUGUCUGGUUAAUUCCGAUAACGAGCGAGACCCUAUCGUUCCUAAUAUGGGGCUAUAGCCCAACCGGUCGAAAGGCCGGUUAGCUACAGCUUAAGAUUAGCUUCUUAGACGUAUCAGAGCCGAUAAGGUUCUUGAAAUGGGUUAAUAACAGGUCAGUCAUGCCCUUAGAUGUUCUGGGCCGCACGCGCGUUACAAUGGCAUGUAAAACGAGUGCUUACUGGUAAGCUUACCGUGGUUGAGAGGCAACGGCAAUCCAUAAUCCCUACCUUGACUGGGAUAGAUCAUUGCAAUUAUUGGUCUUUAACGAGGAAUUUUUAGUAAUAGCCAGGUCAUUAACCUGCGCUGAAUGCGUCCCUGCCCUUUGUACACACCGCCCGUCGCUGCUACCGAUUGGACCUCAGAGUUACGAGUUCAGAGAUCGAGUAAGGCCUCCGACGCAAGUUGGCUGGCUAAGCCCGAUCGAAGUCCUAAUUACUCUGAGGUCUAGAGGAAGCAGAAGUCGUAAAACAAGGUAA